rnacentral:piRNA from 1 species
UCCUGUCAAUAAAGAAAU